rnacentral:rRNA from 1 species
UAAGGGUUCCUGGGUCAAGCUGAUCUGCCCAGGGUAAGUCGGGACCUAAGGCGAGGCCGACAGGCGUAGUCGAUGGACAACCGGUUGAUAUUCCGGUACCCGCUUUGAAACGCCCAAUAUCGAAUCAGGCGAUGCUAAGUCCGUGAAGCCGUCCUGGAUCCUUCGGGUGAAGGGGAGUGGUGGAGCCGACGACCCGGACUUGUAGUAGGUAAGCGAUGGGGUGACGCAGGAAGGUAGUCCAGCCCGGGCGGUGGUAGUCCCGGGGUAAGGGUGUAGGCCGUGUGAUAGGCAAAUCCGUCACACGUUAAGGCUGAGACCUGAUGCCGAGCCGAUUGUGGUGAAGUGGAUGAUCCUAUGCUGUCGAGAAAAGCCUCUAGCGAGUUUCAUGGCGGCCCGUACCCUAAACCGACUCAGGUGGUCAGGUAGAGAAUACCGAGGCGUUCGGGUGAACUAUGGUUAAGGAACUCGGCAAAAUGCCCCCGUAACUUCGGGAGAAGGGGGGCCAUUUCCGGUGAUGAGUCUUGCACUCUGAGCUGGGGGUGGCCGCAGAGACCAGCGAGAAGCGACUGUUUACUAAAAACACAGGUCCGUGCGAAGCCGUAAGGCGAUGUAUACGGACUGACGCCUGCCCGGUGCUGGAACGUUAAGGGGACCGGUUAGC